AAUGAACGUUGGCGGCGUGGAUUAGGCAUGCAAGUCGAGCGAGAUGGGUUUGGUGCUUGCAUUAAACCCUGAAAGCGGCGAAAGGGAGAGUAACGCGUAGGAUACCUGCCCUCGGGCCCGGGAUAGCGGCGGGAAACUGCCGGUAAUACCGGAUAACGUCCCCGGACCAAAGGUGAGAUUCCGCCUGAGGAUGGUCCUGCGUCCUAUUAGUUUGUUGGUGAGGUAAUGGCUCACCAAGACGAUGAUGGGUAGCGGGCGUGAGAGCGUGGCCCGUCUCACUGGGACUGAGACACUGCCCAGACACCUACGGGUGGCUGCAGUCGAGAAUCUUCGGCAAUGGACGCAAGUCUGACCGAGCGACGCCGCGUGCGGGAUGAAGGCCUUCGGGUUGUAAACCGCUGUCAGUUGGGAGGAAAUCUAUAGGGGUUCUCCCCUGUAGUUGACCGAUCUUCAGAGGAAGUACGGGCUAAGUUCGUGCCAGCAGCCGCCGUAAAAC
rnacentral:rRNA from 1 species